CCUACGGGAGGCAGCAGUGGGGAAUAUUGGGCAAUGGGCGCAAGCCUGACCCAGCAACGCCGCGUGAAGGAAGAAGGCAUUCGGGUUGUAAACCUCUUUUAUCAGGGACGAAGAAAGUGACGGUACCUGACGAAUAAGCCACGGCUAACUACGGGCCAGCAGCCGCGGUAAUACGUAGGUGGCAAGCGUUAUCCGGAUUUACUGGGUGUAAAGGGCGUGUAGGCGGGAGUGCAAGUCAGAUGUGAAAACUAUGGGCUCAACCCAUAGCCUGCAUUUGAAACUGUACUUCUUGAGUGCUGGAGAGGCAAUCGGAAUGCCGGGUGUAGCGGUGAAAUGCGUAGAUAUACGGAGGAACACCAGUGGCGAAGGCGGAUUGCUGGACAGUAACUGACGCUGAGGCGCGAAAGCGUGGGGAGCAAACAGGAUUAGAUACCCCGGUAGUC
rnacentral:rRNA from 1 species